rnacentral:misc_RNA from 1 species
UCCGACUUAACGUCGGCAGUCCCUUUAGAGUGCCCAACUAAAUGCUGACAACUAAAGGCAAGGGUUGCGCUCGUUGCGGGACUUAACCCAACAUCUCACGACACGAGCUGACGACAGCCAUGCAGCACCUAUGUAGCGGCCCGAAGGCUACUCUAUCUCUAGAGUAUUCCACUACACUUCAAACCCAGGUAAGGUUCUUCGCGUUGCAUCGAAUUAAACCACAUGCUCCACCGCUUGUGCGGGCCCCCGUCAAUUUCUUUGAGUUUUAAUCUUGCGACCGUACUCCCCAGGCGGGACACUUAACGCGUUAGCUCCGACACUGAAGGGGUCAAUACCUCCAACAUCAAGUGUCCAUCGUUUACGGCGUGGACUAC